UACGGAGGGUGCGAGCGUUGUCCGGAAUCACUGGGCGUAAAGGGCGCGUAGGCGGCCUGAUAAGUAGGGGGUGAAAUCUUGCGGCUUAACCGCUAGGCUGCCUUCUAAACUGUCAGGCUAGAGCACAGUAGAGGCAGGUGGAAUUCCCGGUGUAGCGGUGGAAUGCGUAGAGAUCGGGAAGAACAUCAGUGGCGAAGGCGGCCUGCUGGGCUGUUGCUGACGCUGAGGCGCGACAGCGUGGGGAGCAAACAGG
rnacentral:rRNA from 1 species